ACUUCGGAACAGAUUUAAAAGGG
rnacentral:piRNA from 1 species